AGGUCACAGGAGCUAAAAAUAGAAAAAACCUUGUUAACACUCUAGUGGUCACAAUUUUGACUCAAUUGUCAUCAAACUUGGUCAGGAAACUUGUCUAGGUCAUUGCUGGGAAUAAAUCGAACAUGGGACAUCUCGGAUGAAAAACUAGGUCACAGGAGCUAAAAAUAGAAAAAUCUUGUUAACACUCUAGUGGCUACUGUUGUGAUCCAAAUAUUCUGUUAAUUGGUCUGAAAGUUUGUUUUGAUGAUUUCUAAGUCAAGAUCGAACAUGGGUCAUCUUGGAUGAAAAACUAGGUCACACCGCCCAAAUAUGGAAAAACCUUGUUAACAUUCUAGUGGUCACAUUUUCGACUCCAUUAUCAUCAAACUUGGUCAGAAUGCUUGUCUAGGUAAUUGCUUGGAUGAGUUCGAAAUCGCAUGUGAAACUAGGUCACCAGAGCUAAAAAUAGAAAAAUCUUGUUAACACUCUAGUUGCUACUGUUUUGAUCCAAGUAUCCUGGAAAUUGGUCUGAAAGUUUGUUUUGAUGAUUUCUAGGUCAAGUUUGAAUAUGUGUCACCUGGGUAAAAAACUAGGUCGCACUGCUCAAAUAUGGAUAAUCCUUGUUAACACUGUAGUGGUCACAUUUUUGACUCACCUGUCAUGAGACUUGGUCAGAAUGCUUGUCUAGGUAAUUGUUUGGAUGAGUUUGAUAAUUCAGGUGAGCGAUCUAGGGCCAUCAUGGCCCUCUUGUUUAGUAAUAUAAUGUUUGUGGUAUUUCAGGAAAUCAAGAAGGAAAUCAAAGAGUUACAACAAGCAUGUGAUGAUAUCAAGAAAGAAAUUAUUCAGAGACAGCUAGAGGUUAAAACAUUAAAGAAGAUUUAAAUACAUUUAAUAGACAGACAAGUCAGCAUUGAUAGUAAAGAAUAGUAAAAACUCACUGAAAAAUGGAAAAUCUUCAGGCUCAGAUUUGCCCCUGCUGGAUGAAGAUAAUGCUAUAUUGAGGUAUGGGCAUCAGUUUGUAGAUUAUCUUGGUAGAGGACUGGCAGAUAAUUGAAGCCAGGUAAGACUUGCAUCAUCUGGCAACCAGGAAGUUCCUUCAGAGUUUACCGUCAGAUCAAACCAGGCACAAGUUUUUCCCCAUUUUGUUACCUAGGAUGUGUCCUAAUAGAUAUUACGCAGCCGAAGGUCUCCGUAUUUACUCACAGGACACAUGGAAACAAGUGAUGGGAGAGCAGGGGAAACAACUGGUACAUCGGACAAGUGAAAAAGUAAAAAGUCGAGCGUUGCCCCUGCUCGGCGGUGACUCUUGUUAAAAAGAAUUUUUGGAAGGGAGAGAUCCCUCGGGUACAACAGAAACAAAAAGUUAAAAAUUGCAGAUUUGAAUUUAUUACAGGUGAACAAAGAUGUUGUGGACAUGCAUAUUCCAAUGUUGUUAGAGGCUCUUCUAAUCUGUUUAAGUGAUGACAGCUGGACAGUUAGAGAUGGUCAUCUAUACCAGCAUUGUAUCCACUGUUUUUCAACAAUCUACAAGAUGAUAUACCAUCAGUGCGGCAGGGGGCGUCCCUUGCUCUCCCAAGUGUAUAUGAUCAACUAAGCGUUCCAAGAUCUGAUAUGAAGAAAUUUGCAGAGGAGGUGUUUUAUGUUGUGCGUCAUUAGGAGAAAGAAAUAGUCUCUAUAGUUUCCAGUGCCGUAGAUGAAUUCUAGGAACAAAUACAGUAUGGGGAGCCAUUUACCGAUCUCAACCAUUCAGAAGCAUUUUAUACACAUGAAGAGAUUGGCUCAGAUUUGAUCAGUAACAGUAGACGUGUGUUCAAGAAACUAAUAUUUGACUUAUAUGGAAAAUUAUAAAGAGGAAGGAUAUGAUUCUCCCGUUGCUUGGCACAAACCAAAACUAACAAGUUUUAUAAAGUUAAAUGAGUGAUCUGAGUAUAUAAGAGCUUACACAUGAAUUUUAUAUUCUUGGGUUUGAAUUGAGAACAGAGAAUCAUGAAGUAGAGCUAAAAUGGCAUGAUCUAGAGAAUUUGUUUCCUAACCUUUUUGCAUUUGAAAUAUAAGGAAUUUUAUAUAUUUCUUUUCUACUCUAUUAAAAUAAUGCACUCAUCCUCUAGUUAUAUAUGAUAUUGCUCAUGUAUCAGUGUUAGAUUGUUUUGAAAAGUUAGAUAUAUAUUAAUGUAUGAAUGAUGUAAAAAAUACUUCCUGAAGGUCUAACAGUACCUGUAACAUGAAGGUCAAAGCCUGAAAUCCAAUCUGUCAAGAAUGCAAGUUAUAUAAACUUUGAGAAAUUGUGAUACCAUUUCAUUUUCAUACUAUUGUUUGUAACUUUUGAAAGUCUUUGAUUUCAUUUAAAAUGAAAGUGCUCACCCCAGAAUUCAACGAAACUUUAUGGGAAUCAUCAAUAUCAAGAGGUGAUGCGCAUAUCGUCGGCUUGUUCCGGUCAGACACUUUUAACUCAGAGUUAUUGCCCUUGAUUAGUUAUGUAGUAUGCAUAUAGAGUAAAAAUCGUUUCCGAGCUACUUCUCUGCAACUACUGGCUGGAACUCAACGAAACUUUAUGGGAACCUUCAAUACCAAGAGGAGAUGCGCAUAUCAUCGGCUUGUUCCGGGCAGACACUUUAACUCAGAGUUGUGGCCCUUGAUUAGUUAUGCUGUAUGCAUAUGGAGUAAAAAUCGUUCCCGCGCUACUUCUCUGCAACUACUGGCUGGAAUUCUUCGAAACUUUAUGGGAACCUUCAAUACCAAGAGGAGAUGCGCAUGUCGUCGACUUGUUCGGGUCAGACACUUUAACUCAGAGUUAUGGCCCUUGAUUAGUUUUGCAAUAUGCAUAUGGAGUAAAAAUCAUUUCCGGAGUAGUUCUCUGCAACUACUGGCUGGAAUUUAACGAAACUUUAUGGGAAUCAUCAAUAUCAAGAGGAGAUGCGCAUAUCGUCGGCUUGUUGCAGUCAGACCCUUUAACUCAGAGUAAUGGCCCUUGAUUAGUUAUGUAGUAUGCAUAUAGAGUAAAAAUCGUUUCCGCACUACUUCUCUGCAACUACUGGCUGGAAUUCAACAAAACUUUAUGGGAACCUUCAUUACCAAGAGGAGAUGCGCAUUUCAUCGGCUUGUUCCGGUCAGACACUUUAACUCAGAGUUAUGGCCCUUGAUUAGUCAUGCAGUAUCCAUAUAGAAAAAUAUUUGUUAUCUCGCUACUUUUCUGCUACCACCGGCUGGAAUUCAAUGAAACUUUAUGGGAUACUAAGAGGAGAUGUGCAUAUAUUCGCCUUGUUCCAGUCAGAUACUUAUAACUCAGAUUUAUGGCCCUUGAUUAGUUAUGUAGUAUGCAUACAUAUCAUUGGCAUUUCCAGAUUUUACUAUUUAACACAAAGUUAUGGCUCUGUUUUUACCCUGAAUAUUUAUCAAGUUCAAAGAAUAUUACUGUUUAUGCCAUGAUUAAUACAUAAAUAAAGCCUUAUGUCUUCAGUUGUUGUGUUAAUAAAACCAGUACUCGGUGGGGGAUAUAAAUUCAACGAAUUUGCUUGUUUUAUACAUAUACUCGUAUAUAUUCAACGAAUUUGCUUGUUUUAUACAUAUACUCGUAUAUUUGUAGUUGUAAUAGUGUAAGAUAAUGAAGAAGGAAACUAAAUUAUAAUUUAUUAUAUGUAGCAGUUAGACUUGUGCUAUAUUUAUAAACAAGCAAACUGAAAGAUUUUUUUUCUUCUAAAUUGUAAAGAAAAUAAAGAAAAAUAAAUGCUAACAACGAU